GGGGCAGUAGCUCAGCUGGGAGAGCACCACGUUCGCAACGUGGGGGUCAGCGGUUCGAUCCCGCUCUGCUCCA
rnacentral:tRNA from 1 species